rnacentral:rRNA from 1 species
UUAUCCGGAAUCAUUGGGCGUAAAGCGCCUGUAGGUUGUUUAAUAAGUCCGUUGUUAAAGACUAGGGCUUAACCCUAGGAAAGCGAUGGAAACUGAUAGACUUGAGUAUGGCAGGGGUAGAGGGAAUUUCUAGUGUAGCGGUGAAAUGCGUAGAUAUUAGGAAGAACACCGGUGGCGAAGGCGCUCUACUGGAUCAUUACUGACACUCAGAGGCGAAAGCUGGGGUAGCAAAAGGGAUUAGAUACCCCUGUAGUCCUAGCCGUAAACGAUGGAUACUAGAUGUUGCGUUUAUUAUGCAGUAUCGUAGCUAACGCGUUAAGUAUCCCGCCUGGGGAGUACGCUCGCAAGGGUGAAACUCAAAGGAAUUGACGGGGGCCCGCACAAGCGGUGGAGCAUGUGGUUUAAUUCGAUGCAACGCGAAGAACCUUACCAAGGCUUGACAUACUACAAAUUUUUCUGAGAAGAAAAAGUGCCUUCGGGAAUGUAGAUACAGGUGGUGCAUGGCUGUCGUCAGCUCGUGUCGUGAGAUGUUGGGUUAAGUCCCGCAACGAGCGCAACCCUUGUUUUUAGUUGCCAAUUUAUUGGGUUUUCUAGAAAGACUGCCGGUGACAAACCGGAGGAAGGUGAGGAUGACGUCAAGUCAGCAUGCCCCUUAUGCCUUGGGCUACACACGUGCUACAAUGGCUAGGACAAAGAGUUGCGAGCUCGCGAGAGUGAGCUAAUCUU